GGAUUCCUGGCCCAGCACGGGAACGUCAGCCUGAGAAUUUUUGUAGCCCGACUCUACAACCAUGAAGACCCAGAAAAUCGCCAGGGGCUGAGGACCCUGAACAGCACUGGGACCCCCAUCAGGGUCAUGACUAACAGGGAGUUUGCCCUGUGCUGGGAGCGCUUCGUGAGGCACCAGGGAGCAGCCUUUGAGCCCUGGGCAGGUCUGCGUGAAAAUGCGGACCUGCUUCUGGGACAGCUGGAGGACAUCCUGGGGGUCUGAGGCCUUUGGCUCCUACCCUGGAGGCUCUGUCCCUAAGAAGAGCAGGUGUGAGUCCUCUCCCCCAGCCUUUCUCCAGGUGCUGCCUGCUGCCGAGUCAUGACCAUUCAAGGCAGAGGAGCAGUCGCCCUCUGAGCCCAGUGCAUCUAGCUCCACAUGAGCAUCAGGCUGUCUCUGCGUCUUUGCCAUCUUAGAGAAGUCACUUCGUCCUCUGCCCACUUGUGCUCAUGCUCUGCUGUCCUGGAGAGGCUGCCCUGGUCCUUCACUGACAUCCAGCCCAGUGUAUCUUUUUAUUAAAUGUUUUUAUAAAAAUUCA